rnacentral:tRNA from 1 species
GCGGUCGUGGUCUAGCCUGGUCUAGGACUCAGACGCGGCGAGCCUGCUACCCGGGUUCAAAUCCCGGCGACCGCACCA